rnacentral:rRNA from 1 species
UACGGAGGGGGCUAGCGUUGUUCGGAAUUACUGGGCGUAAAGCGCACGUAGGCGGAUUGCUAAGUCAGGGGUGAAAUCCUGGAGCUCAACUCCAGAACUGCCUUUGAUACUGGCGACCUUGAGUCCGGGAGAGGUGAGUGGAACUGCGAGUGUAGAGGUGAAAUUCGUAGAUAUUCGCAAGAACACCAGUGGCGAAGGCGGCUCACUGGCCCGAUACUGACGCUGAGGUGCGAAAGCGUGGGGAGCAAACAGG